rnacentral:rRNA from 1 species
CCUACGGGAGGCAGCAGUAGGGAAUAUUGCUCAAUGGGGGAAACCCUGAAGCAGCAACGCCGCGUGGAGGAUGAAGGUUUUCGGAUUGGAAACUCCUUUUGUUAGAGAAGAUAAUGCCGGUAUGUAACGAAUAAGCACCGGCUAACUCCGUGCCAGCAGCCGCGGUAAUACGGAGGUUGCAAGCGUUACUCGGCAUCACUGGGCGUAAAGAGCGCGUAGGCGGGAUAGCAAGUCAGAUGUGAAAUCCUAUGGCUUACCAAUAGAACUGCAUUGGAAAGUGUUAUUCUAUAGUAUGGGAGAGGUAGGUGGAAUUCUUGGUGUAGGGGUAAAAUCCGUAUAGAUCAAGAGGAAUACUCAGUGCGAAGGCGACCUGCUAGAACAUAACUGACGCUGAUGCGCGAACGCGUGGGGAGCAAACAGGAUUAGAUACCCUAGUAGUC